rnacentral:hammerhead_ribozyme from 1 species
GUCCGACUGACGAGUCCAAAAUAGGACGAAACGUAAGUCCUGGAU